UCACCAGCUUGAAACGAAAGAAACCUCUUCGCGCAGGUGAUGCAUGGCCGUCGUCAGUUCGUGGCUUGAGCUGUUCCCUUAAGUGGGGUAACGAACGCAACCCCGUUUCUGUUAAUGUCAGAGAGACUGCUCCCGGAGAGGAAGGUGGGGAUGACGCCAGGUCAGCAUGUCCCUUAUGCUGGGCUACACACGUGAUACAAUGGGGUACACGGGGCAGAGUAAUCUGAGCAAUCCUGAAGCGCCCAAGUUCGGAUUGAGGUCUGCAACCGACCUCAUGAAGUCGGAAUCGCUAGUAAUCGCAGUCAGACAUGCGGUGAAUACGUUCUCGAGCUUUGUACUCACCGCCCGUCAAGUCAAGGAAGUCGGAGGCCGAA
rnacentral:rRNA from 1 species